rnacentral:rRNA from 1 species
GUCUUUAUGGAGUUAUAUAAAGUCUAGCCUGCCCACUGAAUUAUUAAAGGGCCGCGGUAUUUCUGACCGUGCGAAGGUAGCAUAAUCACUAGUCUUUUAAUUGGAGGCUUGAAUGAAUGGUUGGACGAAAAACUUACUGUUUCAGGUAAAAGAUUUGAAUUUAACUUUUAAGUGAAAAGGCUUAAAUGGAUUAAAAAGACGAUAAGACCCUAUAAAUCUUUACAUUUUAUUUUAUAUUUAUUAUAUUUGUGUGUAUAAAAAGAAGUAUAAUUAUUGUGUUUUGUUGGGGCAACAAUGAUAUAGUAAAAUUAACUGUUAUUAUAAUUAAACAAAUUUAUUUGUUGGGUAAAUUAGAUCCUUUUUAGAGAUUGAGAGAUUAAGUUACUUUAGGGAUAACAGCGUUAUUUUCUCUGAGAGUUCUUAUCGAAGAGAGAGAUUGCGACCUCGAUGUUGAAUUAAAAAAUCUUUUUAAUGUAGCAGUUAAAAUGGAGAGUCUGUUCGACUUUUAAAUUUUU